CAGCCUCGUGCCACCUCCUGCCUGGGGCUGAACGAGGGGUUGGACUCAAUGAUCCUUCCAGCCCUGGUUCUAUGAAGCUGUGCUGUGGCAGGAGGGAGCUGCAGCACACCUUGGCAACCCGAAGCCUCCAAAACAACGCACAGACACUGAACUCCUGCGGAAAAGUCGUGAUUUUCCAUGCAGCCAUUUGAAUUCCCUUUGGUUGCUGCAUCUCCAGCAAAAGAGCCGUGCAGUUUGCGUCAGGGCAGGCAGACGGUGGGGCUGUCUGAGCAGAGCCGUGGUCAGGGUUUGGAGCACGAUGGCUCAGCAAUUAAUCCUCCCCCGCGACACUGCCUGGGCUCGGGCACAAGGGAGCAUUACCUUGAUUAAAAGCGAUGCGUUAAUGCAGUGCUCGGUGCCCAGCAGAGCAGAUCCCCAGGGUCGCAUUCAGCUCCCCAUGGGCACCAGGUCCCCUGGCCACCGCUGAGCACGGCGGGGUGAUGCUGCUGGGGACCGGCCCUCCUUGCCGGGCAGCCAGCAGGCAUUUCCCUCAUUAAUCCAGCAUUCGCUCCAUGGUGGAUGCUCCUGCCCUUUCAAAGCAUCUCCCUCUUUGUCAGCUGCCUUUUCAGGCACUGCAAACACACAAAAGCCGUUUUGCUCUGUGCGGUGCCUGGGAGCACACCCGUGCCCCUGCAGCAGAGCUAACGAUGCUAUCGGUCACCUCUGCUUCUCGCCCAGGUGCUCGUCCCACUUCUUCCCAGCCUUGUUUCAGCAUUUUCCUCUUACAAAAAAGAGUCUUGGGGAGAAAGAAGGGGCUGACAUAAACUGUGCAACUUAGACACUCAGGUUGAGCUUCUGACCCAUGGGCCACCACCACCCUGCAGUUUCUGCUGGGCAAGCAAUUCCCAAGCCAUUGGCAUGGAGAACCAAAGCAGUUUCUGAGCAGAAGAGAGCUGCUGUGUGCACAUAUCCAAAGCUCUGAGCAUCUCUCUGGAUAAAGGUGAAAUUCCACUCCCAGCUCAGCUGGCUCUCAUCCAGACGAGCUGCAUUAGCAGAGAUUUGCCAGGCCAGGAUCAGACCCAAAUUCAAACCCUGCCAUUGCAA
rnacentral:lncRNA from 1 species